rnacentral:ncRNA from 1 species
GUGCUCGUAAAAAGGAAAGCUAGUUUGCAUCUCCCUCUACAAGGAUGGAAUCAACCUUCUUCGGAGUGGACUAGCUGGCUGGGCGGCCUAGAUUGAUUAUCACUCAUGCUAGCCGGCCUGGAAGUUGACUAGAUUAUUAGAUAUUUU